UACGGGGGGAGCAAGCGUUGUUCGGAUUUACUGGGCGUAAAGGGCGCGUAGGCGGCCAGCACAAGUCAGCUGUGAAAUCUCCGGGCUUAACUCGGAAAGGUCAGCCGAUACUGCGGGGCUAGAGUGCAGAAGGGGCAACUGGAAUUCUCGGUGUAGCGGUGAAAUGCGUAGAGAUGUGGAGGAACACCAGUGGCGAAGGCGGCUUUUUGGUCUGUAACUGACGCUGAGGCGCGAAAGCGUGGGGAGCAAACAGG
rnacentral:rRNA from 1 species